rnacentral:snRNA from 1 species
AUUGCUUCUCGGCCUUUUGGCUAAGAUCAAGUAUAGUAUCUGUUCUUAUCAGUUUAAUAUCUGAUACGUCCUCCAUCCGAGGACAAUAUAUUUAUUUUAAAGAUUUUAUUUAUUAAUUUAACAGAGAUAGAGACAGCCAGCGAGAGAGGGAACACAAGCAGGGGAAGUGGGAGAGGAAGAAGCAGGCUCCGGAAUAGAAGCUUGCUGCCAUCCACUGCACUUGUCGACCUGCUAUUGCCGUACUUCCAGGAACCGUGCACCCACU